UUGAAAAUGCAUUAUUUCCACUUCCUAUGAGUCCUAAAAAGAUUCUCCUACCUUCCAGAAUUUGUUCCAGUUGGAUCGUCAAGUUAAGACUUGAGAACUUUACCGUUUCAGUUCUUCAUAAGACCAUCAGAAUGCAGCUGUCUGAACGCGUGGUGGUUUACAAGCUUGUAUACAAGUCACCAUGGUUACCAGGUGUUUGAUGAGCUCUAAGGAGAUACGUGGCUCAAAUAUUUGCACCCA